rnacentral:rRNA from 1 species
CGAACGGGUGAGGAACGCGUGGACAACCUACCCCGGCGUGGGGGAUACCCGCCAGAAAUGGCGGCUAAUACCGCGUACGGUCGCCCGACGGAGGGUUGGGCGAAGAAAGCAGCGAUGCGCGCUGGGAGGGGUCUGCGGCCGAUUAGCUUGUUGGCGGGGUAGUGGCCCACCAAGGCGAUGAUCGGUAGCUGGUCUGAGAGGAUGAUCAGCCACACGGGGACUGAGACACGGCCCCG